GAGACGGACACAAAGACCUCGUCGCCUGCUUGCAGCUCAAACAGGCCGCCUUGGUACACUGAGUGAAGGGCGUAUUCUGCGUCCGGAGCCCAACAUUUGGUCCCCACUCCCUUCAGCAGCUGAAUCGGCCUCAGGCAUUUUUGACACCGGGAUCUCAUGGAUGGAUCCAUGGAUGGAUGGGUCAUGAACAGUCAAUGGAGGGUACAAAAAGCAUGUGCAUCUCCCCGGUCCCUCUCUGUCUGGCAUCAUCCAAGAGCGAGUGUGUGAUGGAGUCUCUGUUGUUCUUGGCGCUCUCUCUCUCUCUCUCUCUCUCUCUCUCCAUUCAUCAGACAGCCGAGCGCCUGCAGCCUUUAUAUCAUGACAUAAUCUCACCCAGGCCACAGCAGAGAUGGAUUUGACUUUUUCACCAUAAUUUCUGCUUCAGGCUGGAUACGAAGAUCUGAGAUGACCAAACACCUGUAAAGAGAAGAUGCCAACCCUUCUGAGGACCUCAGAUGACGACAACCCUGAACCAACAUACAAAACUACAAAAUUUUGCUACACAUUAAAAACAGCAGACAUGAUUAGUUAUGUUUGUGCCGGUGUCUUCCUCCUCUUUCUCUAGUCAGGGCUCUCUGCUACAGUGACACUUAAUGGGAUUUUAAAGAUGUGGAGAAUGGACUUGAAGACUUCCGAGGCUUUAAACCCAACUUAAUCUCUCUUUCUUUCUCUCUCUCUCUCUCUUUUUUUAGUUUUUUAGACGGAAGGUCACUGUGGAGCACUCGCUGAAAUUCGACUCUUAAGUAAUACCAGCUUUCAGAGCUCAGCACAUUUUUGGCAGGAGGCGAGCCAUCGUGUAACUCCACGCAGCGCAACAUGAGAACACCAACUGGACAGCCCUUUAUUACUUUAUUAACGUUUUUCUCUUUUUCUUUCUUUUUCCCCUUUUUCACCGUUGCAAAUCUCAUGUUUGCUUGUUAUCAAAUCUAAUCCACAUCCCCAAGCUAGUAGUUUCCCAUAGAUUUCUGAAACAAACAAUACAUUCAUCCAGAGAAACCGCAUGUUGUAAAACCGACCACACCAUCGAAAACAUGAUUACAAUCCUUGAGCUAUGAUCAUGCUGAAGAUAAAGGUUAGAGGGCACACAGUGAUGGCCUUUGUGUUUGUUCUAAGGUUGGCGGAAUUCCCCGAGUAUGAUCACUGCUUUCAUCGUAAAUCUGUUUCAGACGCAGACGGUGAUGCAACGCUGCGGAUAUGAGCCUGAAGCCGAGAUGCUUCCUUAUCUAAUGAGUUAUUAGGAGAAUCCGAGACAAGCGGAGAAUGGGGACAAAACGUCCCAUUUAGCUUUGCAGGAAACUGAGGAGGGAUUUAGGGAUAUUGAGAGGACUCAAGUGGCUGCUGCGGAGUGUAUAGGUUAAGCAUAUAAUAUUCUUUGGAAUGCUGAUAUUAUUUCUAGACUGGAUCGUAUCCAUUCUGGCCAAGAUGUUGUAGUGUUUUUGACCAGGUUAGGGGGCAUACAGUGUUACACCAAAGCUCAGGGAGCAACGAUGGCCAGCGGUUUGCAUAUACUGCACUUCUGUAUGCUGUUUGUGUGCUGAGUCCGGCUAAAGUCGAGAAUCUGGAGGACAUCUGAAUUUGCUUUCUGCUUUUUUUUGAGCCCUCCAUAAUAACUACCAGGUGUUCUGGCAUUCUCUGGAUUCUGAAGCCUUCACUUCAGAAACAUGCAUUUCCUUCAUCUCUCUUCACUCGCUCAUUCACGGCCUUUGCCGCGAACACUCCUUUCGUUCCUCCUUGUCCUCUUAUUCUUUCUCUGUGUGCUUUACCUCUGUGCUGACAUGAAGCUGGAAAAGAGCCUGAAGCCUCAGCAUGUGCUUGUUUGGCCCGUUUCUUUCUCUGCGUGAAAAUAUCUUCCUCCUUUAUCUCAAUCUGAAUCUCACCCUCUUAUUCGUAUUGACGCGUGAACAUGCAAGCAAAUACAUGCACGUAUACGUUAUGUUUUCUCUCUUUACAUGUGUUGAAAUUCAUGUACUGGUCUAACCCUCAUGUUCUCUUUUUAUUUGGCAAAACUCCAUUAUUUGUUUACUUUUUCCACUGACCGAUCCUCUAACAUGAACAGGGAAUUCUUUAAUGCACCAUAAUUGCAUCUCUAAGAAGUGGCGCAUGUGUUUUUAAUUAUGAGGCAAAUGCCUCUGUCUCUGAGUGCCAAUAAAUUGUUUGCAGCCUCAUUCAAUUAGAAGUGAAAGAUUUGACGGUACGCACGGGCUGUUGCACAUAGUGGCAGGAGGGAGGACGGGGUAGACAUGCUCCGUAAAUCUGAUAACAUAUAUUCCCAGAGCUGAGGGACUUGGGUAAACAAAGAAGUGGCACGGAAAAUUACUAAAGAAAAAUGGCAGAAGUUUGUGACACUUCCACCAUAAUGAAAAGCAAAGUCAAAAUGAACCCUAUUUACUUUCUAAUGUUUCCUGGUUUAUUGUUAAUGAUUCAUUGGUGCAGGUUGUUCCAAACAAAGAAUGUCUUUCUCCUCUGAAACAACCUUUUCUUUUCAGCUGAUGUCACUUAGGACAUCUAAGCUAUUGGAUAAAGUUAACCAAUAGCUAUUUAUUCAGUCUGACACUGGAUGAUAAAAUCAAACAGGGACACACAGGACGCACAAUAUAUUGGUACCAUAACAGUAAUCUUCUGAUGUUAAAGUGCCCCUAUUAUACAGUUUUGAAUAUUGCCUUUCAUGCUUAACGUAUAAUACUAGUGUUAAAAUGUUUGAAAAACAUUUUUAUAAAGAAAUUCAUAUUUUUAUUUACCAAGGAUGCAUGGUGAAAAAUACUUUUACAUGGAUAUAGUUUAUAUUUUAAAUUAAUGCUGUUGUUUUCUAUUCAUCAAUGAUCCCUGAAAAAAAUAAAAAAUAAAUAAUAAUAAUAAUAAUAUAUAAAUAUAAAUAUUUCAGUUUCCACUAGCGUCCACAUAUUUCAGUAUCCACUAAAAUAUAAAGCAGCAAAAACGUGUUUUAAAUUUUAAUGAUAAUAAUAAUAAUGAAUGUUUCCUGAGCAACAAUUCAGCAUCAAAUAAAUGCAGCAUUGCUGAACAUAAGAGCUCUAUCAAAAACAUAAAAAAAUUGUACCGAUCUCAAACAUUUCAACGGUAUUGUGUUUAAUGUAAAUAUGUGUUUGACUUUACUACUGGAUGCUCUGUAAGUCUAAUCACACCUUUAGAACAAGACUUGCUCAAAACCAAGCCCCAGGCUUUCAAACAUGUCAGUUUUAUUAAUGUAACCACCACUGGAAGGCUGUGAGGGGAAAAAGCUAAAUGCUGAAGGGAUAACCAGCCACGCAAGGGGAAAACCAAGCCAUUUCCUUCAAAUCUGAGCUCUGACUGCUAGGCUGGUUCAUGAUCGGGACAAGGGGCUGACUCACCCUCUACAACGGUGCAUAUACAAGCAUAAAUGCCUGACAAACUCUCCCAUGACUCAACCACCCAUUUGUUCUUCCCUAAGGAGAUUGUAAUCACUUGCCGGGACACAUUUAUGGUAAUAGCAUGUUGCUUCAUGCUGUGAGGAGCUUCACUUAAUACUGUUGUCUACAAUUGUGCCCAAUGCAAUGUAAAGGCAGAUUAUGUUUUUAAUAGCUGUUAUUAAGACACAACCUGCCUCAACAGAAAUCCCAACAAAUGAAGGCAGAAUGUUGUGCAACAAGUAUAAUCAAACAGAGACGUGAACUCACCUUGGAAAUAUAGGCUUUGAUACCCUCAGCCAGCUUGAUGCAAGGUUCUCCAAACAAUUGGGCCAGGUCUUCGGGAAUGUCCCGGUCUUUAUCCAGGGCGUUGAGCAAGCCCAAGCACCGCAGCUCUUCUGUAACCCCCUGAUUUUUAACCUGCCAAUAGGAAACAAGUUUUAAAACAAGCCCAAUUCAGAUGCAAUUGGAAUCAGUACAUUAAAAUUAGGUUUGAAUAAAAUGUCACCCCAAGGAACAAUGAAAACAACACUUUGGUUGUAAAUUGGGAAAAAAUCAACAGGGAACUGAAGGCAUGCUCAAUGAGGAAACAGUCUGCUCAAGGCCGGAGCAUAGGCUGAAGUUCAAAAUGAGGGCAUGUAUCCCUCUUGACCCUUUCCAGGAAAGUAGAUGAGAACAUCUGCAAUGGGGCUUUCUAUGGAAAGCCAAUGGGUACAAGUUCAGCUCAAGACCUUGAGCCAGCUGGAGAGAAACUCGGAGUCUCUCCUAGAAAUAUGUCGCCAGUUAAGGAUCUCUGCGUGCAAUUUUGAUGCCUUGAGUCACGGUCCACCAAAUCUCUUAACGACUCUCCAGUUGCCAACAGAGCGUGGCAGCAGAAGUUCCCCCCUGCGGUCUCAAAGAAAGGAAAGCAGCCUGAAAGUUGGUCAUGAUCUAAAUGACUGAAGCCCUGCAUCUUCGGACGAUCUCCCAGAGGGCUACAGAAGACCACACUGAAGUCAAAACCUCUCUCUCUCUCUGGCCUAGGGUCGACUAGUCUCUUUAAGCAAUAAAUCAUGUUAAAAAGCAAACCUCCUUUUUGAGCAAAGUUUGUUUUUUAUUUAGACUCGUACAAAGAAGAGUAUUCAAACAAGUUCAGUAGGUGCUUUACACACAAUGACGAGUUUCUCUAAAAUUAGCGCAUGACUACAAGUGAUCCUUGAUAUAGGCGUGUUGACAAACAAUGAGUUAAAGUUUCUGAUACAGUGCAUAGUCAGCAUGCCAUUGGUCCUCUAGUAUGCACCUGUACAUACACGCAUUCGACUUUACAAUGACCGGUGCCAUUGUGUGUGGCAAAAGCCCCGGUUACCAAGGGUAACAAUCCUUUUUUUUUCUUAUAAUCGCCUUUGUCUUGGCUUCUGUCAUUGGCUCAUAAAUCUCUGGUAAAUCGCCACUGAAGACAGGCCUUAUUAAGCGUCCAUUGUGAUGCGUUUUUAAAGCCACCGGGUGUUCUACGAAGUCUCAGGCCAUCGCCGGCACGUUCUGCUCUGUCUGUCUGAAUGUUACACUUCUAGAAUACUAACUAUGUGCCUGUCAGUAGACCCCGGCUUCUUUUCCCCAUCCAAAUGGGGCCCCAACAGUCGUCGCGCUCUACUAGAAUAUCUAAGUACUUCUGAGAAGCAGGAUUUGUUUAGUUUUUUUUCUCCACACGUAAUUAAUACAGAAAUUAAACAUGACAUGGACAGAUUGGCAUUAACUCAAGUUACUUGACUGAAUUGCACGUUUUAGCCUCCUUUUGGGGCUAAUCUCAUCAGAAAAGUACUUUUUAUGUUAAAUUUGAUUAUUGUCAAAUAAAGGCUGAUAAAAUGCC